rnacentral:rRNA from 1 species
AUUGAACGCUGGCGGCAUGCCUUACAUAUGCAAGUCGAACGGCAGCACGGGUGCUUGCACCUGGUGGCGAGUGGCGAACGGGUGAGUAAUACAUCGGAACGUACCUUAUCGUGGGGGAUAACGCAGCGAAAGCUGUGCUAAUACCGCAUACGCCCUGAGGGGGAAAGCGGGGGAUCGAAAGACCUCGCGCGAUUAGAGCGGCCGAUGCCUGAUUAGCUUGUUGGUGGGGUAAAAGCCCACCAAGGCGACGAUCAGUAGCUGGUCUGAGAGGACGAUCAGCCACACUGGGACUGAGACACGGCCCAGACUCCUACGGGAGGCAGCAGUGGGGAAUUUUGGACAAUGGGGGCAACCCUGAUCCAGCAAUGCCGCGUGAGUGAAGAAGGCCUUCGGGUUGUAAAGCCCUUUUGUCAGGGAAGGAACACCGGCUCUAACACAGUCCGGGAAUGACGGUACCUGAAGAAUAAGCACCGGCUAACUACGUGCCAGCCGCCGCAGUAA